GGACAAGACAUGUCAAUAUUCUCAAAUAAUACAGAUCAACAGGAGAAACUCUGUAGAUGGUAACAGCUGGUACUUAGGAACUGAUAUCUGCACUAGCUGCACUACGGACAGCAUGUACUUCAAACUAAUUCUAGCCUGAGCUCCACUGCCUUUGAAGCAUAACUGAACUAAGUCUCCUUGUUUAUGUUUAUUUGAAAGGAAUCCACUUUCAACAACCGGAGAUUAGUCCAUGAUCUGAAAACUUGCUAAGUGUGGACAAUGAGGAGAUUAACUCCAAAGCCAGACAAAAGUAAAUCACAAAGGGACUCAAGGGAGGUGCCCAUCAAAACACUUGGCCCCUCAGCACACUCCAUCUCUGGGUCUGCUCCUAGCCUGUGAAAAUUUAACACCAGUCUUAAAUGAAUCUGUUGCACCAGUACCCAACCCACAGAAAAGAAACUCCAGCUGGAUCACCAGAAGAGAAUGAGGAUCUUUGCUUUAGCUUCUCAAGUACCUACCUUCUACUACUCUUGCUUAAAGAAAAAACAAGACUUAGACAAUCACUGGCUUAAAGUGGCUGGCAUCUUUCUGGUAAGAAAAUAUGCAUGCGGCUCAGCAAGAUGGUGGUUUUCAGCAUAGAAAAUACCAGGAGGUGGAUGAGCCAUGAGCCCUGCAUUGGUUUUAUGCACUAAGCAGAUUAACAAAAUUAUGGCUGUGCCUCAUUGGUCAUAUGCAGCAUAAUAUUUAUCACAUUCCUGGCUGAAGUUUGAAAUGUCUCUAGGUGAGAUUAAAUGAGACUAUCAAGGGCACAUUUUCAAGGCAAGAAAUGCACACUGACAAACUCAUUACCUUUAAUGGAAGCUGCACAAUUCAGGCUGUGUACUUCCUCCCUAAAGUUGUUUUAAAAUUAUUUUUCUCUUUUUUAUCUAGUUUUUAAUGGUAAGGUCCCUACAUGCAUAUGAGAAACUCAUGAUAAAGACUCUCAAGUCAAUUUCCAUGUAUCUGGAUAAUUGUUGGAUGCAUUUUCCAGUUCUACCUUUGAAAAGUUGACUUUUUUUUUACUUACUUUUUCUAAAAGUCUAUCCAGUUAUCAGCUGUACAUGCAGAAAUGUUAUUAGUAACAUUAACAGCUCACUUUGCUAUGUCACAAGCCAUUGUUGCAAUGGGAUAUGUAGUUUAGCACCAUUCAUAUUGUGCUACAUGAUAAAACAUCUAAUUUAAUGUGUUAUGUCUAUUCUGUUUGUAUGCAACCAGUGGGAUACAAAUAUAUUUCCCUGAAGUGAUUGAUUUUUUUUCUUUUUAUGAACGUUUAUUGGAAAUCCUAAGACUUCAGAGGCUCUUCAGCUGAUGGCUGUGAGUCCUGAAGAUGAGUUUAAAAAUACAUUUUUUUCUUUCAAUUUGCAAAAGAGGCACUAAGAAUCAGAUCCCUUAAAAAAAAAAAAGGUAAAAAUGAGAUGCAAACUUAAGAGUGGUUGAUUAUGAGAAGUAAUUCCAUUUGAGACUUUGCAUAUGAUUGACAUAGUCUAUGCUUUGAUAAGAUUAAAAAAAUCUCCAGAGAUAAUUUCUCAUAAUGAAUCAUUUAUUAUGUAUAUCUCUUAAUUCUAGAGGGGUUAAGGAUGAGUGAGCAUGAAAGCCGGGGACAGAGUUUUUUUAUGCAGCCCAUAAACACUCCUUGCAGAUAUUUAUGUGUCCUCAAGUACUGCUGCAUGAAAUAGAGAAACCAAGGACAGAUACCACCUCUCCUCAACGAUGCUUGGUGUGCGAAAAAUUCUAGCUCAGUGAACCCUACCACAACCCCACUAACCAAGGUAGGAAAGAGUAGGGGAAGCACCAGUGGCACAGCUGCAGAGCAGAGAUAUAAGUUAAAGCAACCUUUCCUCUGUUCCACACAACACAACAAAAGGCAUAGAAUGGGAGGUACAGAGCAAAUAGACUGUAGCCCAUCUAUUUAUUAUAUCCACAUAUAUCCAUAGAGCCAAAGGGCAAGCACAUUGUGGAGGAUGUUAGGAACCACUAGUGGCUGUUGUACCCUCUGCCAUGCCAGAGGACACAUAUCUUUGGCUUACUGCACUGCCUUUUCUCACUACACUCAUAUUUGGUUUAGUAAUUCUAUUUUGUAGAGCUUUCCCUGGGGCAAAAAGUACCAAGAGGUAUUUUACAUCUAAAUAUGGCACAAUUUUUUUAAUAGCAUCAGCAAACUAAAAUUUUCUGUCCUUGAACCAACAAUGCAUUUGGCAUGUAUAUUUUAUUCUUGGUUUUCUUGCACAGAGUCUUAAAAUGGCAGUCUUCAACUGUUAUUUGGAGGGUGAUAAGCCAAAGCUCAAGCUGGUUUCAUGAGACAUAAAAGGAAGAUUUUGUAGCUAAACUGUUUGCAUACCUUCUUACAAACUGGCAUAUGAACAGUCAGCAGGUGUCCCUCCAGAACGACAGGCAUGAUGUACAGCUCUUAUAGCCAUACAAUGCUUACAAUCAUAAACACGGCAUGUUUUACAGGCUGCCUGAUGACUUAGAAAAAGAGCUAUCAUAAUGACUUCCCUGGCUCUAUAAUAGCUCCAUUUACAAUUAGUGUUAAGAGGCAACACAGUUCUGUUCUCUGCUGACACGGAUUUAGAUCUGACAGACUGGUGAACAAAAUAUUUCUGGAUGACCAUCUGCAGAAAUUCAUGUUCCCAUUCCACAGCAUUGGCUACUCAAAUCUGCUUGUUUUGGUGUUGGUGGAGAUUUUUUGUUGAUCAUUGGUUGGUUGGUUGGUUUUUUUUUUUUUUUUUUGGUUCUUACCUGUGCAGUUUGGCUGUAACACUCCUCUUAAACUUUCAGAUAAUUACUGUUAUUUUGGAUUGUAAUAGCCAUGAUAUUUAUUUAUUUAUUUUAAUAGUCAUCUUUUAUUAUCUGGGACUCGUAGUUGAAUCAAUUGAUUUUAUAAUGGAUUUUCUCACUUUCAUUAAUGGGAAAAAUGCCAGAACUUACUGCAGUAAUUAGGCACAGCUAAGGUGAAGGACUACAAGAAACUAAGCUGGGAGAUGUUGUAUUCACAGCCUAGCCCAGGCUGUAAGCCAAAGAUCAGGUUUCCAUUACUCUGACCUCAUGAAGCUUCAUCUGGAGUACUGAGUCUAGGCCUGGGGCCCCCAGCACAAGAAAGAUGUAUGGCUGUUUGAGCAGGUCCAGAGGAGGCCACAAAGAUGAUCAGAGGGGUGGAGCACCUCCCCUAUGACGAAAGGCUGAAGAAAUUGUGUUUGUUCAGCGUGGAGAAGAGAAGGCUACAUGGAGACCCCACUGCCACCUGCCAAUACUUGAAGGGAAAUUAUAAGCAGGAGAGGACCAACUUUUUACACAGACUGAUAGUGACAGGACAAGGGGGAAUUACUUUAAACUAAAAGAGGGGAAAUUCAGGUUACAUAUUAGGAAGAAAUUUUUUACUCCAGGGCUGAUGAGGUGCUGGCACAGGCUGCCCAGAGAAGCUGUGGAUGCUCCAUCCCUGGAGAUCUUCAAGGCCAGGUCAGAUGAGGCCCUGGGCAGCCUGAUCUAGUCGGGGACAGGGGAUUGGAACUCGGUGUGUUUAAGGUCCCUUCCAAUCCAUGCCAUUCUAUGAAUCUGUAAAUUUUUUGAAAAUAUAGAACAUAAUGAAUAGUAAUUUUCUGCUACUGGAACCAUUUUUCUUGGGUUUGGUCAUGGCUUCUGGAUAAGUAAACAGAAGCACAGGAGGUGCUUCCGUUGAGGCUUAUGACAUGCUACACAACUGCAGUUCCUGCACACCUGUGUGUGCUACAAAUUGCCUGGUAUAAAAAAACUAUCAACAGUACCUGUUUUCCCAAAACAUCUUGUAUGAAAGGUGUAUAAGACAGACAAAUGGUUUUGAAAGGCUCUGAUGUUCAAAAAAAAUGCAUUUAAAAAUAACAUCUACUUUCUUUGCUGCCCAGUAUUGAAAUUGAAUUGGUUGAUGCUAUUUACUCUUUCAUCAACUAUGUAUAAGGAACAUACGCUGUCCCUGUCCUCUUCUAUCUAAGGAUCAUGAGAUAUUUCCUAGACAAACAGAAGCCUUUACUGAAAUAUGUGCAAGAGCAUAAAAAUGAGAAGAAAUAUGCCAUCUUGCCAGAAAUUAGUGAAAGGAAAACAGGAAAUUGUUCUUAUUUAUCUUUCACUGUGUUUUAUUUGUGUGCUUGUUUCCCUGCUUGCUUUAUUAAUGCUAUGAGAUUCUUUUAAAAGGUUUCUCUCAACCUGCUCAUUAUCUAAAACAAACCAUAGAUUAAGUAACUAGUUUUAGUUUUAAAGUAACUAUUAACGUUACUUUAAAAAGAUUGGAAACUGGAAUUAUUCUAAUUUGAUGAGCAGGAAGUACAAUCUAAUAUGAAAAGAAGAGCAGAAAGACGUGUGUUUAACAUACCAAGAAGGUCAUCAAAUUAAAAGAAAACUAUUUUCCCUCUAAAAAUGAGAAUAAACAAACAAAGUGAAAGCAUUCAUGAAAUAAAUAUACUAAGCACACUACCGCUAGUGCAUAUACAGUUUUUUCCUAGCAUUAUGGAAGCUAUUACAAAUGGAUAGAAACAAUAGCAAGAAGAGUUGUAUAUGUAUUACGUGAGAUUGUGCCCUUAUGCGUACAUGCAUUUUACAAGACAUUUCAGAAGUCUUACGCCAAACAUUUAGUCACAUGAAAAGUAAGAACAACAUAUUUCAAAAUAACUAGUAGGAGGAGAGAAUACUCAUGUGGUGAUAUUUUUUAAUCCCUUUUUCUCACACUGACACAUCCAAAAAAUAGAAAGGAUCAGACAGGACUGAGAAACUUGUGUCAAAUUGCCAUCAAGAUUCAGUGUCUGGUCAUUGGGUAAGUCUGGAAAGCCACAGUCCAAAAUGUCUUAUUCUUUGUAGAUGCUCCAUCCCUGGAGGUGUUCAAGAUCAGGUUGGAUGGGGCCCUGGGCAACCCAGUCUAGUACCAGAUCUGGAGGUUGGUGGCCCUGCCUGUGGCAGAGGUGUUGGAACUUGAUGAUCCUUGGGGUCCCUUCCAACCCAAGCCAUUCUGCGAUUCUACGAUUCUCUGUGAGCUUGAGUUAGAUUCUUUGCUCUAGUGAUUUAAAGGGGUCUUAUAAUGAACAAAAAUCUGUCAAUUUGCAUCACUGAAACACAGGAGAAAGAAAGACAACAUGGUGAGCACAGGAAAAAAACAUCCUGUGCUGCUCAUUGUUGCCAAGGACAGAGCUCAGAAAAAGAGUCAGGAAUGAGAUGACCAUCCUCAGCAUUAGCCAUGGACACCACUUCCUACACACUCUUGUCUGCGCAGUCCCCUCUUCCUCUGAAUAAAUGUUCAAACUGAUCUUCAGCAUCUAAGAGAUCCUCUCCUGUAGCUUUUAAGCACAUUGAAUGCUGAAUGAUGUGUCCAAAGCUUCAAAGAGCCUCAUCAUGUAGGAACAGCUUAUGAGACUUUUGGGAUCUGUCACAAAAAAUUUGACACCCCAGGACUGAGAGCACUUGUGCAAGAUGGGAGAGAUAUUCAUAUGCACAUAAGAAUUGCCUUCAAAGAUUUGCAUGAAAUUAUUCAGAUACAGAAACCCUAGAUCCUUUACUUAAAAUAGCUUCUGGCACAGUUAUCUUUAGGGACUUUUCACCUUGUGGAUGUAAUUCCUUAAUUAAUUACUUCAUCUUCUGUCUACAAUCCUGCAAACCUCUUGGCAGAUGUUAUAAUACAGUUACAUAUUCAUGUGAUUCAAACUUUGUCUCAAGACAAAUAUGCUUUUUGUUAAUAACAAUACAGAUUAUAAUCACAAUUCUUU
rnacentral:lncRNA from 1 species